GGUUAUGUUACACAUCAAAAAAAAAUUACAGCAAUGAACCAGGAGCAGCAAAUUCUGAGACUCAAGUGCAGUUUUUUUAAAACCACUCAAACUAAUGUGAUGGGUUACCUCAUGGGCACCUGAAUCUUCUGGACAGGCAGGCCUGAAUACUUUGCCUAACGGCCUUCCUGUGUGGCAGCCAAGUGGCCUGUCCAAAUGUAUUUUGUACAGCUUAUAGAGGAGUGGUAAAUGUCUUAAAAGGUACUUGACCUUUGAAAUUUGAGGUUUUAUGGCUUUCAGAUUUAUGUUUUAAAAUCUUUUGAUAAUAAAGUGAAGUCUCAUGUCUCUUUCAAGGGUAUAAUUUAUAGGAAUAUUAAGAUAGGCAUAUUUAAAUAGUGCUUAGUUUAUUGAGCAUCAACUGUUGAGAUUAACACUAAAGAACAUGCAAAGUGAGCAAGACAAGUACCAUUUCAUUUAGGUUAUUUAACAGAGUUACGGUGGGAGGGCAAAAAACAUUUAAUGACUUCGUAAAUAUUGUGCAGUUACUACACAGAAACACACACUGAAUGCAGUAGAUAAAAUAACCUACUGGUAGACCUGGAGGAGUUUGUGGAUGGAUUGG
rnacentral:lncRNA from 1 species